UACGUAGGGGGCAAGCGUUGUCCGGAUUUAUUGGGCGUAAAGAGCGUGUAGGCGGCCACACAGGUCCGCUGUGAAAACUCGAGGCUCAACCUCGAGCUGUCGGUGGAAACCGUGUGGCUAGAGUCCGGAAGAGGAGAGUGGAAUUCCCGGUGUAGCGGUGAAAUGCGCAGAUAUCAGGAGGAACACCGAUGGCGAAGGCAGGUCUCUGGGCCGAUACUGACGCUGAGGAGCGAAAGCGUGGGGAGCGAACAGG
rnacentral:rRNA from 1 species